rnacentral:rRNA from 1 species
AGUUUGAUCAUGGCUCAGAUUGAACGCUGGCGGCAGGCCUAACACAUGCAAGUCGAACGGUAACAGGAAACAGCUUGCUGUUUCGCUGACGAGUGGCGGACGGGGGAGUAAUGUCUGGGAAACUGCCUGAUGGAGGGGGAUAACUACUGGAAACGGUAGCUAAUACCGCAUAACGUCGCAAGACCAAAGAGGGGGACCUUCGGGCCUCUUGCCAUCGGAUGUGCCCAGAUGGGAUUAGCUAGUAGGUGGGGUAACGGCUCACCUAGGCGACGAUCCCUAGCUGGUCUGAGAGGAUGACCAGCCACACUGGAACUGAGACACGGUCCAGACUCCUACGGGAGGCAGCAGUGGGGAAUAUUGCACAAUGGGCGCAAGCCUGAUGCAGCCAUGCCGCGUGUAUGAAGAAGGCCUUCGGGUUGUAAAGUACUUUCAGCGGGGAGGAAGGGAGUAAAGUUAAU